rnacentral:rRNA from 1 species
GACGAACGCUGGCGGCGUGCUUAACACAUGCAAGUCGAACGGUAAGGCCCUUCGGGGUACACGAGUGGCGAACGGGUGAGUAACACGUGGGUGAUCUGCCCUGCACUUCGGGAUAAGCCUGGGAAACUGGGUCUAAUACCGGAUAGGACCACUGCCUGCAUGGGUGGUGGUGGAAAGCUUUUGCGGUGUGGGAUGGGCCCGCGGCCUAUCAGCUUGUUGGUGGGGUGAUGGCCUACCAAGGCGACGACGGGUAGCCGGCCUGAGAGGGUGACCGGCCACACUGGGACUGAGAUACGGCCCAGACUCCUACGGGAGGCAGCAGUGGGGAAUAUUGCACAAUGGGCGCAAGCCUGAUGCAGCGACGCCGCGUGAGGGAUGACGGCCUUCGGGUUGUAAUCCUCUUUCAGCACCGACGAAGCGCAAGUGACGGUAGGUGCAGAAGAAGGACCGGCCAACUACGUGCCAGCCGCCGCGGUAAUAC